rnacentral:misc_RNA from 1 species
UGCUGAGCGGCUUAUACUUCUAGACACCCAGCCUGUUUUUAGCCCAUCUGUAUUAGCUGAGAUGAUGAGACCUGAUGGUUCUUCAACAAUUUCAGUUUUAAGUGGUGAAAAUCUAUCUGCUGAAUUAGCACAUGAACUUAUGGCUAUUCAGGUGACUAUAGAGGAAGUGCAUAUCUAAGUUCAACACUGAUGUAAAACAUGUUUUUUCUACUCACAUUGAAUCUAUUUUUUCUUUAUUUUGAUAUUUGUACAUUUGACAAUAAUAGAAUGUCUAAUGAAUUUAUAUAUUUGUGGGAUGCUGUAAGGAAUCUCUUUAGCUUGGCGUUCUUCUAGCAUCCAUUUGUCACAUUCUGCUUCUGGUAUCAGAUGGAGUUCAUGAUGAUAAUAUGUGGCGUUUGAUGUUGACGGUUGACCUGUUGAAACAUGGUAUACCUGAUCCAUCUUCACAUUUGCAGAGCUCAACUGGGGGGCCUGAAAGAGAAAAUAAAGAUAAACUCUUUGAGGGUGAAGAAUAUAUGGCUACUCCAGUCUUUGUGCAUACAAAGUAAGCAAUCAUUUUGCAUUUCACAUUUAUCCUAAAGAAUUUCCGUUACUUGGUAAUGUAUAACGCCUUGAAAGUGAAUUAUAGAAAUAUAUUAGUGAAAGACAUGAUUGAAUGAGCUUUUUCCUCUCUGAAUUGGGGCAUUUCUCAUGAUAUGGUUUGGUUCUCAAGUUGUUCAAUAUAUGUCAUUCUGUCGGCCUUGCUUUUUUGAAGAUACAUUUCUUGAUUUUAGUAGACCUAAACUUGGCCAACAUCACCCAUAUGGUCAUCACAAUGCACAUGAUACAUUUUCUGUAAAUGUGUGUGUUUCGUUCUACUUCUACCCCAAACUUAUAGUAGCAAUUUCAUCUUUCCUUGCUUGCACUGGAUUAUAAAAGGCCAUUUGUUUUUGUUUCUAUGGUGGAUUACAACAUUGUUUGAAUUUGAUAUAUAGAAAUUCUGGAAUCUUAUUUGCAUAUAAUUAUCGAUGCACGUUAAUUUGCUUGGGCUGCUGUGUUUUUGAAGAUGGAGUCGGAAGAGAAGGUUGAGCUGUUACCACCAGUGAACAAUUUCAGUAGACUUAAUAUUUCACCAAAUACAUUCAAGGAUUGUUAUACUCUCAAUCAAAUAGCACUUGCAUUCAAUAUAGUUUUUGAAAGAUAAUAAAACAAUAAUGAUUCAAUUCAAUUUGUUGGCAUUUAUUAUAGACUUGUUGGUGCAUGGCUUAAAAUUUAUCCUACUACUGAGUUAACCAAAGAUAUGAUGUGCUCUUGCUUGCUCACUGCAUCUUUUUUGUUUUUUUUUAAAAAAAGACUCACUGUGUCUCAUUUAGGGUUUUGAAGUUUGCCAUAUAUUGUUGAGCAUAGUGAUGAUUAGAGUUGAGUAGCCCUCAUAUGAUUCUUUUUUUCAGAUUGCAAGAUCAAAAUGUUACCCCACUCAACUUAGUGCAAAUGAGGAAGGCACUUGCACAAUAUUUCAGCUCCUCUUCAUUCAUCAGAGGGAGAUGGGGAAACAUGAGAAAGGAAAAUUUCUUUUCUUCCACGGCUUCUAGUACUAGUAAUGAUUUUCAUGCUAUGCCACUGAAUUUAUUUUUAAUCCCAUCUAAAAACAAAGAUGACUUGCCAAGGGCCCAGCAUGAAAGUUACAACUCUGCACUAUGGAAACUGCGAGAUGAGGUUUUAUCCAUGAACUGUCCUUCCUUUGCAAGGACUGUCUCAGAACGUGACUGGCUGAAAAAUUCUGCAAAGAUAUGGGAACAAGUUAAAAGCUCAGCUGUCAUUGCUGAGUAUAGCCGAACACUUCAAAAUUCAGGCAUGUUUAGGAGGUAGCAGCCCCAAUGUGCUUUGUUUUGCUCUCUCUGUACCAGAAAUUUUCAUAUACACAAUUCCCGUGUACUGUAUUAUGUCAGCAUUUGAAGGCCUUGGAAUGAAUGGACGGUAAGAGGUUGAUAGCUGAGUUGAUUCUUUCGCUUUCUAGUUGUUAGGUAGCAAUUAAGCUUCCUAGUUUUCUCCUUUAAGCGUUGUAGGGCAGCUCAAACUUCUAACCCAAAGAAGCACAAAGAAUUAAAGCAAAUGUUUAUUCCAUUGCCUACACAUUUUUAUUUGUGUACUUAAUAUGAUCAGCAUUUCAGUUUUCUUCCCUCUUAUUUGUAUGGUUUAAAAAAUAUUUAUAUCUUUUAAUAUUGAGUUCAAUGAAUAUGGGGAAAAUUUAAAUUUUUAUUUUUGAAAUAUAUAUUUAUUAUUCAAAUAUUACACCAAUUUUUUCCUUUUCAUCUUAAUUCCUACAGGGAUACAGAUAAAAAAUAUUUCCAUGGCAUUUCAUCUCAUCAUUAUUUUCAAUUCAAUUCAAUCCUAUCCCUCAAUAAUUAAAAAAAAAA